GACGAACGCUGGCGGCGUGCUUAACACAUGCAAGUCGAACGAAGAGCGAUGGAAGCUUGCUUCUAUCAAUCUUAGUGGCGAACGGGUGAGUAACGCGUAAUCAACCUGCCCUUCAGAGGGGGACAACAGUUGGAAACGACUGCUAAUACCGCAUACGAUCUAAUCUCGGCAUCGAGGAAAGAUGAAAGGUGGCCUCUAUUUAUAAGCUAUCACUGAAGGAGGGGAUUGCGUCUGAUUAGCUAGUUGGAGGGGUAACGGCCCACCAAGGCGAUGAUCAGUAGCCGGUCUGAGAGGAUGAACGGCCACAUUGGGACUGAGACACGGCCCAGACUCCUACGGGAGGCAGCAGUGGGGAAUCUUCCGCAAUGGACGAAAGUCUGACGGAGCAACGCCGCGUGAGUGAUGACGGCCUUCGGGUUGUAAAGCUCUGUUAAUCGGGACGAAAGGCCUUCUUGCGAACAGUUAGAAGGAUUGACGGUACCGGAAUAGAAAGCCACGGCUAAUUACGUG
rnacentral:rRNA from 1 species